rnacentral:tRNA from 91 species
CGGGGAGUGGCGCAGUCCGGUAGCGCGCCUGCUUUGGGAGCAGGAUGUCGCAGGUUCGAAUCCUGUCUCCCCGACCA